GACGAACUGUGCAAACGUUAUUCGGAAUCACUGGGCUUAAAGGGUGCGUAGGCGGUCUUGUAAGUAGGGUGUGAAAGCCCCCCGGCUCAACCGGGGAACUGCGUCCUAAACUGCGAGGCUAGAGUGAGGUAGGGGUGUGUGGAACUUCCAGUGGAGCGGUGAAAUGUGUUGAUAUUGGAAGGAACGCCGGUGGCGAAAGCGACACACUGGACCUUGUCUGACGCUGAGGCACGGAAAGCCAGGGGAGCAAACGGG
rnacentral:rRNA from 1 species